UACGUAGGGUGCAAGCGUUAAUCGGAAUUACUGGGCGUAAAGCGUGCGCAGGCGGCUUUGCAAGACAGAUGUGAAAUCCCCGGGCUUAACCUGGGAACUGCAUUUGUGACUGCAUGGCUGGAGUGCGGCAGUGGGGGAUGGAAUUCCGCGUGUAGCAGUGAAAUGCGUAGAUAUGCGGAGGAACACCGAUGGCGAAGGCAAUCCCCUGGGCCUGCACUGACGCUCAUGCACGAAAGCGUGGGGAGCAAACAGG
rnacentral:rRNA from 1 species